CAGGGAGACAAAACUGAUUAUGAUGUCUGAUUAAAAUAUUAGGCCUUAAUCCUGUCACCUUAGGUCGAUCGGUACCUCAGAUUGAUGACUAGAAAAAUAGGAUUAACUUCUUACUAUUUGGUUUUCAGUUUUAGUUCCUAAACUUGUCUAGGUCACACCCAACAAACUUUCUCCUGGGCUAUUAGCUCAGGCGGUUAGAGCGCACCCCUGAUAAGGGUGAGGUCCCUGGUUCAAGUCCAGGAUGGCCCAUUCGUUGUUGGGGGUAUAGCUCAGUUGGUAGAGCGCCUGCUUUGCAAGCAGGAUGUCAGCGGUUCGAGUCCGCUUACCUCCACUGAUCAACUACCUGAUAACUCAAUUUGGAGAUUGUUAUUUGGUUAAUGUGAUUUAGACGUUGUUCAUCUGAAUGAACCUAGCUUCCUGUCAAUCUUUAAUAGAUUUUAUUGGCUGAUAAGACGCUGGGCUCACUGAUAAGCUAAGUAUUAUCAGUUUGAUUCAGUAGAACCUUGACAACUGCAUAGGAAAAUCUAGAGAAAUAAAGCAUCUCAUAGAUACAUAGGACUUGUUAUUUAUAGAUUUUGAAUAUCAAGUUUCUUUGUUAAAUUCUUGAGUUAGAGCGUAAUGCACCUUCAUUUAACAAAAAAAGUAGGUGCAUUUAAUUU
rnacentral:tRNA from 1 species